UACGUAGGGGGCAAGCGUUGUCCGGAUUUAUUGGGCGUAAAGAGCGUGUAGGCGGCCAGGUAGGUCAGCUGUGAAAACUCGAGGCUCAACCUCGAGACGUCGGUUGAAACCACCUGGCUAGAGUCCGGAAGAGGAGAGUGGAAUUCCUGGUGUAGCGGUGAAAUGCGCAGAUAUCAGGAAGAACACCCGUGGCGAAGGCGGCUCUCUGGGACGGUACCGACGUUCAGGCACGAAAGCGUGGGGAGCAAACAGG
rnacentral:rRNA from 1 species